GAGAAACAACAACAACAACAACAACAAACCCAGUGUAUUCCCACUUUGUGGGGUCUGGGGGGGGUAAGAUGUACGCAGUCCAUACCUCUACCUCUGAUGAAGUAGAAAGGCUGUUUCCGAAAGACCCCCAGCUCAAGUUACGAGAUAUCAAACAAACACAUAGUACAGCACAGAAGCAGAUGACAUAACAUAGAUACUGCAGCCAUAAGGAAUAUAAAACAGAGUAAAGCAGGAAAGCAGGAAUAUAAAGCAGAGGAAAGCACACAGAUUCGUAACAAACAUAGAACACGGAACACGGAACAGAACAUUGAAUACGGAAUCAUACCAGGAAUACACCCCCACCAAUUACCUCCCUACAUUAGCGACCCGAACAGGCCCUAAUCCUCUGCCGUAAUUCGCGUCUUCCAGACCUUCCUAUCUAGGGUCAUGUCCUCGGUAAGCUGUAACUGUUCCAUGUCCCGCCUAAUCACCUCACCCCAGUACUUCUUCGGUCUACCCCUACCCCGUCUAAAACCAUCCAACGCUAGCCUCUCACACCUACGGACCGGGGCAUCCAUGCCCCUCCUCUUCACGUGUCCGAACCAUCUCAAUCGUGCUUCCCGCAUCUUACACUCCACUGAAGUCACACCAACCUUCUCCCGGAUAGUCUCAUUCCGAACUCUAUCCCCUCGAGUCAGUCCACACAUCCAGCGCAACAUCCGCAUUUCUGCCACCUUCAUUCUUUGGGUGUGGGAGUUCUUAACUGGCCAACACUCCGCUCCAUACAGCAAGGCCGGACGGACUACCACCCUAUAGAAUUUACCUUUAAGCUUGGGCGGCACCUUCUUAUCACACAGCACCCCCGAUGCAAGUUUCCACUUCAUCCAUCCCGCCCCGAUACGGUGCGAGACAUCCUCGUCAAUCUCACCGUUACUCUGGAUCACGGACCCGAGGUACUUGAACUUAUCCCUUUUCUUUACCUCCUGCGCUUCUAGCCUCACCACUACCUCAUUCUCUCGCCUUACGUCAUUAAACUUACAUUCCACAUACUCUGUCUUGGUUCUGCUCACCCUGAACCCUUUAGACUCCAGAGUUUGCCUCCACAGCUCUAAUUUGUCGUUCACACCCCCUCGCGUCUCAUCUAUCAGGACUACAUCGUCUGCAAAAAGCAUACACCACGGCACCUCCCCUUGGAUACGCCGCGUUAACACAUCCAUUACUAGCGCAAACAAAAAGGGACUAAGAGUAGAUCCCUGAUGCAAUCCUGUCAGGACAGUGAAAUGCUCUGAGUCUCCUCCCGCCGUCCUCACCUGGGUUUUCGCUCCCUCAUACAUAUCCUUAAUUACUCUGCUAUAUGCCUGCGGUACUCCACUCACCUCCAAGCAUCUCCAAAGCACCUCCCUGGGGACUUUGUCGUACGCCUUUUCUAGGUCGAUGAACACCAUGUGCAAAUCCUUCUUCCUUUCCCUAUAUUGCUCCACCAACCGCCGUACCAGGUGAAUUGCCUCCGUCGUCGAGCGGCCGGGCAUAAAUCCGAACUGAUUUUCCGAGAUAGACACUAUCCGUCUCAGCCUCACCUCGACCACUCUCUCCCAGAUCUUCAUAGAGUGACUCAGUAACUUAAUCCCCCUAUAGUUAUUGCAACACUGAAUGUCCCCCUUAUUCUUAUAGACGGGGAUCAUGGUACUCCACCUCCACGCCUCGGGCAUCUUUGCUGUCCUGAAAAUUUCAUUGAACAAUGCAGUCAACCACCUUACACCAGCCUCUCCAACGAACUUCCAAAACUCCACCGGUAUCUCAUCCGGCCCCGUCGCCCUACCCCUUCGCAUCCUGCGGACUGCCUGUCUAACCUCGUCUACCUUAAAACGUCUACAAUAGCUAAAAUCCCGACACUCCCCUGAGUGCUCCAGUUCCCCUAACACAAUAGCUCUGUCCCCCUCGUCAUUCAAGAGCCUAUGAAAGUACGACUGCCAUCUCUUCUUUAUGUGGCCGUCCUCCACCAACACUCUACCGUCCUCCCCCUUAAUGCACCGCACCUGAUCGAGGUCACGACCCUUCCUCUCCCUAGCCUUAGCGAGUCGGAACAACUUUUUCUCCCCUCCUUUCCCCUGUAACCCUGCAUACAAGCUCUCAAAAGCAGCCGUCUUAGCUGCCGUGACCGCUGACUUCGCCUGAGAAGAAUAAAGGGCAUAUGCCAGAUAAUAAUGGUCAGAGAGCAAACAAGGAGAUCAACCAGCAAAGAACCCCUACAAAGCUAUGGGUUUCCAAAUUUUUGGAAAGGGACAAAAUAACCUAACAAGGACAUCCUUGAAUGAGGAAAGCGGUGUGCAACCGACUCUUAAGACUAAAACCUGGGGAGAAAAAAUUGAAGAGGAAAAGGAGAUAGUAGAAGAGGGUGAAAUCAGUGCAGGUCCAGAGGUUUACAAGAAAGAAAAUAAAGUUCAACAGCUGAAGAGAAACAAUGAAAAGAAGGUUACAGUCAGUGAGCAAGAGGUUAAAGUAUUCAGAGGAAGGAAAUAGUGAUAAGGCAAGAAGUGGUUGAUGAGAGAGCUUUAGAUGGUGGAGAUGAUGGUGUUUUAGAUGUUGUUAAGCUACUGGCCAUAAUACAAAAUAAAUCUCCAAUGUCAGCUCUUAACAAUGUUUUGUCCCAUAAUAUCAAUAUUGAGAAAUUAAAUUUACAGGAAAAGGAGAAUGAAGUCCCUAAAAAAAUUGUCUAUGGAGAGAAUAUGGAGCACAAUGUGAGUCAAAUGGUUAGGCAAGGAGUCUUCAAGGAGUAUAAAAAUAGGGAGAAAAUGAAAGAAACAAGACAAUUCACUACCUAUCAGGGUGAAUCCAAAGAGAGUUGUUAACCAAUCCAAUAGCAAAUGAUGUCAAAAGUUAUCAUUUGGAAUAUUAGAAGUUAGAACUCAGAACGCCUUUAAUAGGCUACAAAUGUUACAGACAUCAUCAGUUUUUCAUGAUAGCCUUAUUGGAGCCCUUCCAACAACAACAACAACAACAAUAAACCCAGUGUAUUCCCACCUAGUGGGGUCUGGGGGUAAGAUGUACGCAGUCCAUACCUCUACCUCUGAUGAAGUAGAAAGACUGUUUCCGAUAGACCCCCGGCUCAAGACACGAGAUACCACACAAACACAUAGUAAAGCACAGAAGCAGAUUACAUAACAUAAAUACGGCACCCAUAAGUAAUAUAAAACAGAGGAAAGCAGGGGAAAGCACACAGAUUCGUAAUAAAACAUGAAACACGGAAGACGGAAUCAUAACAGGAAUAAAACCCCCACCAAGC
rnacentral:lncRNA from 1 species